rnacentral:rRNA from 2 species
AAAUACGAUCAUACCAACACUAAUGCACCGAAUCCCAUCAUAACUCCACACUUAAGUGUGCUUGAACGAGAGAAUAGUAUUAGGUUGAGUGACCUCAUUGGAAGUCCUCAUGUUGCACCUA